GAUCUGGUGAGCCUCCCAUCCUACCCUGCCCCUGCCAUGGGCACCAGGCUCCUCUGCUGGGUGGCCUUCUGUCUCCUGGGGACAGAACUCACAGAAGCUGGAGUCACACAGUCCCCCAGACACAAGAUUACAGAGAAAAGUCAGGCCGUGGUUUUUUGGUGUGAUCCUGUUUCUGGACACAACACUCUUUACUGGUACCGACAGAGCCUAGGACAGGGCCCGGAGCUCCUGAUUCAAUUUCAGAAUGAGGCUGUAUUAGAUGAUUCACAGUUGCCCAAAGAUCGAUUUUCUGUAGAGAGGCGCAAAGGAGUUAAUUCCACUCUUAAGAUCCAGCCUGCCGAACUUGGGGACUCGGCUGUGUAUCUCUGUGCCAGCAGCUUAGCCACAGCACUGCAGAGACACUUCCCUCCUGUGCAUAAAGCUGUAGGGCUCUCCUCUUUUCUACUCAGCUUACAGCAACCUGUCCUUGUUCCUCAUCAUUCAGGGGAAAAGGUGGAAUUUCAGAUAUAG